GAGAGUUUGAUCAUGGCUCAGAUUGAACGCUGGCGGCAGGCCUAACACAUGCAAGUCGAGCGGUAACAGGACUAGCUUGCUAGUUGCUGACGAGCGGCGGACGGGUGAGUAACGCGUAGGAAUCUACCAAGUAGUGGGGGAUAAGCCAGAGAAAUUUGGUCUAAUACCGCAUACGUUCUUCGGAAGAAAGGAGGGGAUCUUCGGACCUUUCGCUAUUUGAUGAGCCUGCGUGAGAUUAGCUUGUUGGUGAGGUAAGAGCUCACCAAGGCGACGAUCUCUAGCUGGUCUGAGAGGAUGAUCAGCCACACUGGGACUGAGACACGGCCCAGACUCCUACGGGAGGCAGCAGUGGGGAAUAUUGCACAAUGGGCGCAAGCCUGAUGCAGCCAUGCCGCGUGUGUGAAGAAGGCCCUAGGGUUGUAAAGCACUUUCAGCAGUGAGGAAAGGUGUGUGGUUAAUACCCAUGUUCUGUGACGUUACUCGCAGAAGAAGCACCGGCUAACUCCGUGCCAGCAGCCGCGGUAAUACGGAGGGG
rnacentral:rRNA from 1 species